AACGUAGGAGACAAACGUUAUCCGGAGUUACUGGGCGUAAAGGGCGUGUAGGUGGUUUCGUAAGUCUGGCGUGAAAUUUUUCGGCUUAACCGGGAAAGGUCGUCGGAUACUACGGAGCUAGAGGACGGUAGAGGCGUGUGGAAUUCCGGGUGUAGUGGUGAAAUGCGUAGAGAUCCGGAGGAACACCAGUGGCGAAGGCGACACGCUGGGCCGUACCUGACACUGAUGCGCGACAGCAUGGGGAGCAAACAGG
rnacentral:rRNA from 1 species